AAUAGAUACCCGGGUAGUCCACGCCGUAAACGAUGGAUGCUAGCUGUUAUGAGUAUCGACCCUUGUAGUAGCGUAGCUAACGCGUUAAGCAUCCCGCCUGUGGAGUACGGUCGCAAGACUAAAACAUAAAGGAAUUGACGGGGACCCGCACAAGCGGUGGAGCGUGUUGUUUAAUUCGAUGGUAAGCGAAGAACCUUACCCAGGCUUGACAUCCUGCUAAUCACUCCGAAAGGAGAGAGUGCCUUCGGGCCGCAGUGACAGGUGUUGCAUGGCCGUCGUCAGCUCGUGUCGUGAGAUGUUUGGUUAAGUCCAUCAACGAGCGCAACCCUUAUAGUUAGUUGUAUUUCUCUAGCUAGACUGCCCUGGCAACAGGGAGGAAGGAGGGGAUGAUGUCAGGUCAGUAUUACCCUUACGCCUGGGGCUACAAACACGCUACAAUGGCCGGUACAAAGGGCAGCCAACCCGCGAGGGGGAGCAAAUCCCAUCAAAGCCGGUCUCAGUUCGGAUUGCAGGCUGAAACUCG
rnacentral:rRNA from 1 species